CAGAGCAGGUAGCUAGGAUGUUGCUAAGGUGUUCAGAGUGGUUUCUAGAGUUUAUUUGGUAGCUAAGAUGUUGCUAAGGUGUUCAGAGCAGGUAGCUAGGAUGUUGCUAAGGUGUUCAGAGUGGUUUCUAGAGUUUAUAUGGUAGCUAGGAUGUUGCUAAGGUGUUCAGAGCAGGUAGCUAGGAUGUUGCUAAGGUGUUCAGAGUGGUUUCUAGAGUUUAUAUGGUAGCUAGGAUGUUGCUAAGGUGUUCCCAGGGAUUUCUAAGGUUUACAUGGUAGCUGGGAUGUUGCUAAGAUGUUCAGAGGAGGUAGCUAGGAUGUUGCUAAGGUGUUCCAAGGGGUUUCUAGGGUUUACAUGGUAGCUAGGAUGUUGCUAAGGUGUUCCCAGGGAUUUUUAAGGUUUACGUGGUAGCUAGAAUGUUGCCAAGGAGCUUAUAGCAGGUAACCAGGAUGUUGCGAAGGUGUUCAGAGGGGUUUCUAGGGUUUAUGUGGCAACUAGGAUGUUGCUAAGGUGUUCCCAGGGAUUUCUAUGGUUUACAUGGUAGCUAGGAUGUUGCUAAGGUGUUCAGAGCAGGUAACUAGGAUGUUGCUAAGGUAUUCAGAGGGGUUUCUAGGGUUUAUGUGGUAACUAGGAUGUUGCUAAGGUGUUCCCAGGGAUUUCUAAGGUUUACAUGGUAGCUAGGAUGUUGCUAAGGUGUUCAGAGGAGGUAACUAGGAUGCUGUGAAGGUGUUCAGAGGGGUUUCUAGGGUUUAUGUGGUAACUAGGAUGUUGCUAAGGUGUUCCCAGGGAUUUCUAAGGUUUACAUGGUAGCUAGGAUGUUGCUAAGGUGUUCAGAGGAGGUAACUAGGAUGUUGCUAAGGUGUUCCAAGGGGUUUCUAGGGUUUACAUGGUAGCUGGGAUGUUGCUAAGAUGUUCAGAGGAGGUAGCUAGGAUGUUGCUAAGGUGUUCCAAGGGGUUUCUAGGGUUUACAUGGUAGCUGGGAUGUUGCUAAGAUGUUCAGAGGAGGUAGCUAGGAUGUUGCUAAGGUGUUCCCAGGGAUUUCUAAGGUUUACAUGGUAGCUGGGAUGUUGCUAAGAUGUUCAGAGGAGGUAGCUAGGAUGUUGCUAAGAUGUUCAGAGGAGGUAGCUAGGAUGUUGCUAAGGUGUUCCAAGGGGUUUCUAGGGUUUACAUGGUAGCUGGGAUGUUGCUAAGAUGUUCAGAGGAGGUAGCUAGGAUGUUGCUAAGGUGUUCCAAGGGGUUUCUAGGGUUUACAUGGUAGCUAGGAUGUUGCUAAGGUGUUCCCAGGGAUUUUUAAGGUUUACGUGGUAGCUACAAUGUUGCCAAGGAGUUUAUAGCAGGUAACCAGGAUGUUGCGAAGGUGUUCAGAGGGGUUUCUAGGGUUUAUGUGGCAACUAGGAUGUUGCUAAGGUGUUCAGAGUGGUUUCUAGAGUUUAUAUGGUAGCUAGGAUGUUGCUAAGGUGUUCAGAGCAGGUAGCUAGGAUGUUGCUAAGGUGUUCAGAGUGGUUUCUAGAGUUUAUAUGGUAGCUAAGAUGUUGCUAAGGUGUUCAAAGCAGGUAGCUAGGAUGUUGCUAAGGUGUUCAGAGUGGUUUCUAGAGUUUAUAUGGUAGCUAGGAUGUUGCUAAGGUGUUCAAAACAGGUAGCUAGGAUGUUGCUAAGGUGUUCAGAGUGGUUUCUAGAGUUUAUAUGGUAGCUAGGAUGUUGCUAAGGUGUUCAGAGUGGUUUCUAGAGUUUAUAUGGUAGCUAAGAUGUUGCUAAGGUGUUCAGAGCAGGUAGCUAGGAUGUUGCUAAGGUGUUCAGAGUGGUUUCUAGAGUUUAUAUGGUAGCUAAGAUGUUGCUAAGGUGUUCAGAGCAGGUAGCUAGGAUGUUGCUAAGGUGUUCAGAGUGGUUUCUAGAGUUUAUAUGGUAGCUAGGAUGUUGCUAAGGUGUUCCCAGGGAUUUCUAAGGUUUACAUGGUAGCUGGGAUGUUGCUAAGAUGUUCAGAGGAGGUAGCUAGGAUGUUGCUAAGGUGUUCCAAGGGGUUUCUAGGGUUUACAUGGUAGCUAGGAUGUUGCUAAGGUGUUCCCAGGGAUUUUUAAGGUUUACGUGGUAGCUAGAAUGUUGCCAAGGAGCUUAUAGCAGGUAACCAGGAUGUUGCGAAGGUGUUCAGAGGGGUUUCUAGGGUUUAUGUGGCAACUAGGAUGUUGCUAAGGUGUUCCCAGGGAUUUCUAUGGUUUACAUGGUAGCUAGGAUGUUGCUAAGGUGUUCAGAGGAGGUAACUAGGAUGCUGUGAAGGUGUUCAGAGGGGUUUCUAGGGUUUAUGUGGUAACUAGGAUGUUGCUAAGGUGUUCCCAGGGAUUUCUAAGGUUUACAUGGUAGCUAGGAUGUUGCUAAGGUGUUCAGAGGAGGUAACUAGGAUGUUGUGAAGG